rnacentral:rRNA from 1 species
GACGAACGCUGGCGGCGUGCCUAAUACAUGCAAGUCGAACGCAGUGGGUACGGGUGAGUAACACGUGGGUAACCUCCCAUCAGAGGGGAUAACACUUGGAAACAGGUGCUAAACCGAUACUGAUGGAUGGACCCGCGGUGCAUUAGCUAGUUGGUGAGGUAACGGCUCACCAAGGCCACGAUGCAUAGCCGACCUGUGAGGGUGAUUGGCAACACCGGGACUGAGACAGGCCCCAGGCUCCUCCGGGCGGCGUCAGUAGGGAAUCUUCGGCAAUGGACGAAAGUCUGACCGAGCAACGCCGGGUUAGUGAAGAGGGUUUGCGGAUCGUAAGACUCUGUUGUUAGAGAAGCGGUAUCUAACCAGAAAGCCACGGCUAACUACGUGCCAGCAGCCGCGGUAAUAC